rnacentral:rRNA from 1 species
GACGUAGGGUGCGAGCGUUGUCCGGAUUUAUUGGGCGUAAAGAGCUCGUAGGCGGCUCGUCGCGUCAGCUGUGAAAACCCGCGGCUUAACCGUGGGCUUGCAGCUGAUACGGGCGGGCUAGAGUUCGGUAGGGAGGACUGGAAUUCCUGGUGUAGCGGUGAAAUGCGCAGAUAUCAGGAGGAACACCGGUGGCGAAGGCGGUCUCUGGGCCGAUGACUGACGCUGGAGGAGCGAAGCGUGGGGAGCGAACAGG